GGGUUAGUAGCCACAGAGGCACUCAGGGCCCGCCCGCCCGACAGGAAGGAAAGAGAAAUACGUCAGUGGUUCUAAGUCGAAGAAAAAUUGACUUCCCUCUCCUGGACCAGCUCCCGGGUCUCCUCGAUUGAAGCUGAGGCAAAGGUUCCAAACUGGCUGGGCUUCGAGCCAGCAUUACUGCUACCUGUAAACACUUGAAGGGGAAGGCUGGCUCCUCUAAGUCACUGAUACUCUUUUUGCUGCUCUUCAAAAGUUCCCUCUACAGAGCAGAGGUGACUUCUGCAAAGCAGAAGCCAUACAUCAUUUAUAACGAUCUCUGGCAAAACCUCAGAAAAAAGAUAUGCUUUUGACUUAGCCGGAUGUCCAAGGCUGUGGCAGGACCCAGCGAGGAGGCUCCGAAGGUGGCAUGAGCCACCAUUCCAGCCGAGUGACAGCCUCGCGGGACAGUCUUCGCCUGCGGAGUGUGACACAGUUAAAAAGGGGGAAAAAAAAAAAAAAAGCCACGAGCCACACGGUUGCCAAUGAAAUAGGAGAGGGAGUGUUUUCCAAAGCACGUGGGGCUCUUCCUGGGCUCCGGGCUCAUCCUCCGGACAGGAGUGCAAGGCCAUGAGCGAGACUUCAGCUCGGGUCUAGGAGGAGCCGGGACAUGGCCCACGAAGUCAACCUGCAUUCCCUGCAGGAAUCGGAACGCGAGACGAUCCUCCAGGUCCUGUACCGGGACCGGGAGAUUCAAAACGUGGAGGAGGAGCGGAUCCGGAAGCUGAAGACACACCUGCAGCAUCUCAGGUGGAGAGGCCGGAAGAAUGUGAGCCAGGAGUACAAAGAGAAGUCCUGUGCCCGCUGCCAGCGGGCCCUGGGGUUCCUGCUGAACCGGGGAGCCGUGUGCCAGGGCUGCAGCCACCGCGUGUGCGCCGAGUGCCGAGUGUUCCUGAGGAGCGCCCGAGCCUGGAAAUGCACCGUGUGCUUUGAGGACAGAAACGUGAAAAUAAAAACUGGAGAAUGGUUCUUUGAGGAACGAGCCAAGAAGUUUCCAGCCGGAGGCAAACACGAGACAGCUGGAGCAAAGCUCUUGCAAUCUUAUCAGAAACUGAGCAGCAAAAUUUCCGUGGUGCCUCCAACCCCGCCUCCUCUCAGUGAAAGCCAGUGCAGCGGCAGCCCCAGCAGGUUGCAGGAACUCGGUCAGUUUAAAGGAUUUAAUAAGUCCGUGGAAAAUCUGUUUCUGUCUGUUACCACCCACAUGAAAAAACUUUCCAAGUCCCAGAAUGACAUGAGCUCUGACAAGCAGCAGCCAGCCACGGGUCCCAGGCAGAGCGCAGGCCAGACGGAGCGGAGGAGCCAGUCGGACACAGCGAUCAACGUCGCCACCAGGGUCAGCACACCAGAUCUUCUGAAACCUCUCGCUCAGGAGAGUCCCAAACGCACCACCAGCCCUGUUUUGAAGCAAGAGGAUCGCUUGUCCAGUCCGGCGCCCACCCCCUUAUUCUCCGGAGGCUGGAGACACGGCAGUUUAAUUAGCAUCAACAGCACUUGUACAGAGAUGGGCAAUUUCGACAACACGCAUGUCACUGGAGAGAUAGAAUUUGCCAUUCGCUAUUGCUUCAGAGCUCACUCUUUAGAAAUCUGCAUCCAGGCCUGUAAGAAUCUUGCCUACGGGGAAGAAAAGAAGAAAAAGUGCAACCCGUACGUAAAGACCUACCUGCUGCCUGACAGGUCGUCCCAGGGGAAACGCAAGACCGGAGUCCAGAAGAACACGGUGGAGCCCACCUUCCAGGAGACCUUGAAGUACCAGGUGGAGCCUGCCCAGCUGGGGACCCGGCAGCUGCAGGUGUCUGUGUGGCACCUGGGCACCCUCGCCCGGAGGGCGUUUCUUGGAGAAGUGAUUGUUCCUCUGGCCACGUGGGACUUUGAAGACAGCGCGACACAGUCCUUCCGCUGGUACCCGCUCCGGGCCAAGGCGAGAAAUGCGAAGACAGCGUCCCUCCCAGCAAUGGAGAACUUGCCGUCCGUGCCAAACUGGUCCUCCCUACGGAGCCCAGAAAGCCCCCGGAGGCUCAGGGAGGGACGGGAGAUCAGCCAUCACAGAACGGUCAACUCUGCUUGGUCGUGCUGGGAGCCAAGAAUCUACCUGUGCGGCCGGAUGGCACCUUAAACUCAUUUGUUAAGGGCUGUCUCACUCUGCCAGACCAGCAAAGGUUGAGACUGAAGUCCCCUGUCCUGAAGAAGCAAGCCUGUCCCCAGUGGAAGCACUCCUUCGUUUUCAAAGGCGUGACCCCUUCUCAGCUGAGGCAGUCCAGCCUGGAACUGACCGUGUGGGACCAGGCCACCUUCGGCGUGAGCGACCGCCUGCUGGGAGGCGCCAGGCUUGGCUCCAAGGACGAGCCAGCUGCUGGUGCUGACGCAUGCCCACAAUCAAAGCUCCAAUGGCAGAAAGUUCUUUCCAGCCCCAAUCUGUGGACAGACCUGACCCUCACCCUGCACUGAGGCAGCAGGAGUUCCAGGUGCCGGCGCCUGAAGGUGGACUGAGGGCCGGGUGUGGACGGCCGGGAGGGGCCCCAGCCCCUCCACAGCAGGGCAGCCCUUCUUCAGAUCCCUCUGUAAGUUGAACAGAACAACCGUGAAUGUUGGUGUUAAGUCUCAGGCUGGUUAUCUGUCCUUUGGGAGAUGUGGAAAAUGACCAGAUUUCAAUAAAUGUUCACCCGUUUCCACGACCUCCCUGUGCUUGUCAAUGAAAAGCAUGGCCUUGCUGUUGCGUGUUUCAAAGAGAAAAGCAGACCCUGAGGGAGGGGUGGUCACUUCCUCCCAUUCUGUUUGGAAGAAAACCGUCUCUGGAGGAGGUCAGCCAACCCUGCGGGGUGUGGGGGACACCCGGCACGGCUGCUGGAAGGGGACAGAGCAGAACGUGCAACGCCAGGGAGUGUGCAGAGCCCGGGCGUGUGAGGAAUGGCUUUGCAAGGCCGAGCCCGGGAGCAGCGGGAGGUCAGAGCAGGUUCUGCCAGUGGGAGCACCGGCCAGCUGGGAGGGGCCGUCCCGGCUGGAGUCUGGGUUAGCGCAACAUCCCGCGUGUCCUUCUCAUAGACGCAGUUCUGGCAGAAAACUCCAAUGUGUAUGUAGCCAAUUAUAUGCACGACACUAACAGUCAAAAAAAAAAAAAGCCCUCCUCCCAGCUC